UUUCGAAUCAUUCACAAUGGGCGAAAGCCUGAUGGUGCGACGCCGCGUGAGGGAUGACGGCCUUCGGGUUGUAAACCUCUGUCACCGGGGAAGAAACGCUUCAUUUUAAUAGAAUGAAGCCUGACUUAACCCGGAGAGGAAGCAGUGGCUAACUCUGUGCCAGCAGCCGCGGUAAUACAGAGACUGCAAGCGUUAUUCGGAUUCACUGGGCGUAAAGGGUGCGCAGGCGGCCAAGUGUGUCAGGUGUGAAAUCCCGAGGCUUAACCUCGGAACUGCGCCUGAAACUACUUGGCUAGAGUACUGGAGAGGGUAACGGAAUUCACGGUGUAGCAGUGAAAUGCGUAGAUAUCGUGAGGAACACCAGAGGCGAAGGCGGUUACCUGGACAGUUACUGACGCUCAGGCACGAAAGCGUGGGGAGCAAAAGGGAUUAGAUACCCCCGUAGUCC
rnacentral:rRNA from 1 species